AUUGAACGCUGGCGGCAGGCCUAACACAUGCACGUCGAGCGAGCGGCGGACGGGUGAGUAAUGUAUGGGGAUCUGCCCGAUAGAGGGGGAUCACUACUGGAAACGGUGGCUAAUACCGCAUACCAUCGGAUGUACCAACAUGGGAUUAGCGAGGAGGUGGGGUAAAGGCUCACCUAGGCGCCGAUCCCGAGCUGGUCUGAGAGGAUGAUCAGCCACACUGGGACUGAGACACGGUCCAGACUCCUACGGGAGGCAGCAGUGGGGAAUAUGGCACAAUGGGCGCAAGCCUGAUGGAGCCAUGCCGCGUGUAUGAAGAAGGCCUUAGGGUUGUAAAGUACUUUCAGCGGGGAGGCGUUACCCGCAGAGGAAGCACCGGCUAACGCCGUGCCAGCAGCCGCGGUAAUAC
rnacentral:rRNA from 1 species